rnacentral:rRNA from 1 species
AAAUUGAAGAGUUUGAUCAUGGCUCAGAUUGAACGCUGGCGGCAGGCCUAACACAUGCAAGUCGAACGGUAACAGGAAACAGCUUGCUGCUUUGCUGACGAGUGGCGGACGGGUGAGUAAUGUCUGGGAAACUGCCUGAUGGAGGGGGAUAACUACUGGAAACGGUAGCUAAUACCGCAUAA